GAUAAAAAAAUACACGUUCGAUUCAUGUUUUUCGGAAUAUGGAUAUUUUCAAUCAGCUGACACCAUGAACUCUGGUGUAAUCCACAUCACUAUGAUGUUCUUGACAUUCUUAUUUCAAAUGACAAAGUUAGUAUCCGAAUUCAUUAUUGAUACACCACGAUAUGAUAUGCAUAUCCAUGAAUACCCAUAACAAAUACACGUUCCACUCAUAUGUUUCAAAAUGAUGAUAUUUCAUUCCAAGUUACACCAUCAAGUUUAAUGUAUUUCACAUCACUGCGAUGUUCUUUACAAACUCAGUUCAAAUGACAAUGUUUAUAAAAAAUUUCAUACUUGAUACACCACGAUGUCAUAUGUUUAUCUUAAAUAUGUUAUGAAUCAAUUGAAACGAAUUUAGGUAUGGAUUCUGAUGAGACAAUUGUCAUCAUUCCAAUAAAAUCGCACAUGUUCAUGCAUGUUUCGAAAAGGUUGUAACAAUUUUCAGCUAUCAGUGAUAGUGAACUAUACUUUUAUAUUAAAUACCACUUCAAUAAAGAAGAAAAAUACUAUGUUUGAAUAUUAUUUAUGAAGAAAUAUAUUCGUGUUUCCAUUAUGGUUAUAAAGCGGUGGUGGAAGGAAGAGGCAUUUCACUGUUCAGUGGCAGAAGACAUUGCGGCAUGUGUGGAACAAACAACUUCGCACAUAAAUAGACGAAGUGAAGUUUACCAAAUUUGAACUAAACUGCUGUCUUAGUAUCGGUUCCUCGGAAUAUCCUUUGCGACGUACGUACUUCAUGGCGGCUUCCUGUUAUUGGUAGGCAUCAGCACCGAACCAAUCACGUUUUCCGGCAGCAAUCCUUUGAAUUUCUUGGUGAUCUGUGUAGAUGAUGAGAAUCUUAUUCAUUGGUUGCAGAUUCCGGAAGAUGAAAGCACUUACCUGUCCUAGAACAAACUCUUCGGCCUCAGUUCGUUAAUGCUGGUUGGUGUGGUUCAGCAUUUCUAAAAAUAAUAAAUACAAUCACCUACAUUUUAA